UCUCCGUAGGUGAACCUGCGGAGGGAUCAUUACAGAGUUCAUGCCCUCACGGGUAGAUCUCCCACCCUUGUGUAUUCAUACUUUUGUUGCUUUGGCAGGCCGUCGGGCUUCGGUCUGGCCACCGGCUCUAGAGCGGGUGCGUGCCUGCCAGAGGAUCUCCAAACUCUGGUUAUCAGUGUCGUCUGAGUAUUAUACAAUCGUUAAAACUUUCAACAACGGAUCUCUUGGUUCUG
rnacentral:misc_RNA from 1 species